rnacentral:tRNA from 1 species
AGCUAAUACGUUAGUAAAGGUAAACCUGCUAAGUUUACUAAUGGCAUAGGAGCCAAUUAGCUG